AGGGUUUCUCCGUGUAGCCCAGCUGUCCUGGAAUCCAUUCUAUAGACCAGGCUGACCUUGAACUUGCAGAGAUCCUCCCACUUCUGCCUCUGAGAGCUAUAAUCAAAGUGAAGACACCUUGUGUGACAACGAUCUGUUGACACUUGAUCUGAGGUUUGACAUGGGGUCUGUCUCAGAAAGUGCUCUACCUGUGCUCAAGAAGAACAUGAAGCAGGAGCGGUGGAGCUCACUCUGCUGCGAGGUGCUGUGCUCGUCUUCUUUCCUUGCUUCUCCACUCUCUGGAUGCUCUACCAUGGCACCACUGGAAUUGGGUGCUGACAUCUCCAGCUGCUGUCGUUGGUCAAUGCAUCCCUCUCUGCAAACCUGUCAAUAUGUACUUCAGAUGUCUGCACGGUUCAUUGAGCCUCAGCAAGAGCCCAAGGUCAGCCCUGUGGGUUAGGUGUCACCUGACUUCAGCUGUCCUGCAGAAUGACAGAGGGAUGGGACAGCCAGACCGCCAGAGGAAGUGCC
rnacentral:lncRNA from 1 species